CCACCGCUCAGUUGGUAAAGCACAAAGCUCUUAACCUUGUGGACGUGGGUUAAAGCCCCAUGAUGGG
rnacentral:tRNA from 1 species